UUACGGCCAUAUCACGGGGUAAACACCGGUUCCCGUACGAUCUCCGACGUUAAGCAAAGUCGAGCCAGGUCAGUACCUAGAGGAGUGACCGCUUGUGAAUACCAGAGACUGUAA